GCACCACUCACUCUUUUCCUCUUCUUCUCUUUUCCCUUUUCUUUUCUCACUCUCCUCUCUCUUUUCCACGCAGCCCCUCUCCCUCUUUCUUUUCUUUUCUCUUCUCUUUUCUCUCCCAUUUCCUCCCUUAGUUGCAGAAAAUGAGAGGACCCGUGAUGAUCCAGCUGAGAGAGAGAGAGAACGACACAGUGAGAGAGAGAGAGAGAGAGAGAGAGAGAGAGAGAGAGAGUCACGAUGCAAAGUUGAAGAAGAAGUAGACUCCGGCCAUGGGCUUCUUGAGGAUAGUGUCUGGAUUGGAGACUUCAUGGGUUCUCCAAUGUAGAGUUCGAGUUGGAGUCCAAUGCAGCCAAGAUGAUGUUCUUUUGGCUGCAGGUAUUCCGGUCGUAGUUGAUAGCAUUGUAAAAGGGUAUUUUGGAUGUUAUGACUGAAGCACGCCGCAACGGUCAUAAUUGGUGGACCACGGGUUGUCCACUUGUUUAUAGGUUUGGUUUAUGGCUUGUGACGUUUGUGUCACUUAUUAUUGUACAAAACCAUUUAUGUCAAGUAUUUAAUUCGUGGAAAGAUUUAAUCAUAUAGUUAUUUAAUGGCUCUUUGUUGUAAUUAUUUGUUAUAGAUGUAUAAGAUGUGAUUUCCGCUAUUAGGUUAUGUUUUCCGCUGCAUAGUUGAUAGAUGUUAUACUCUGAUUUGCCAGGUACAUAUUAUGGGGUAUGUACAUAUGUUGUCUUUGCGA